CGCGUAGGCGGUCCGGUAAGUCAGGGGUGAAAUCCCACAGCUUAACUGUGGAAGCGCCUUUGAUACUGCCGGUCUGGAGGGAGAUAGGGGUGUGCGGAACUUCCAGUGGAGCGGUGAAAUGCGUUGAUAUUGGAAGGAACGCCGGAGGCGAAAGCGGCGCACUGGAUCUCUUCUGACGCUGAGGCGCGAAAGCUAGGGAGCAAACG
rnacentral:rRNA from 1 species